UGUGUCCAUUUCUAAUGCAGUUGCGGCGCUAUUUAGGCCUUGGAGAUGAUUUCAAUUUGCUGUUGGUUAUUCCAUCGUCGGGACGACGAUUCAAUUGAUGGGGGCAGAUUGUGGCAACAUGUAGUUUGUUGUCAUGGUGACUGUCAGCUGUGCGGCAGUCCCAGCCAAUCACGGUGGGAGACUAUCUAUAAAGGCGGGCGUAGAGCACUUGUCGGCAUCUUGCUUGCCGUAGGCUGGGUCACGUUGCGCCUGGGCGUCCAUUUCCGCUUCCGUGCGGUGACAGGCUCUUGCUUGCCGGAGGCUGGGUCACGUAGCUCCUGUGCGUCUAUUUCCGCUUCUGUGCAGUGAUAGGGCUCACUUGGAUGUUGCUGCUGGCUGCGCGCUGCUCAUCGAUAUAUAGCCGAUGCCGCCUACUGAACUGUCGCUUUUGGAUAGCGUCCCGUUCCCUGCUCCACGCCACGUUGGCCGGGACUGCCCGAUUGGGUGGCCGACAGCGGCGCAGCGGCGGCCAAUCCACCUAUAAAAACCACUGCUGCUUUGCUUCAACGUUAUUUCCGCCUUGCCAGGGCCAGCUCGGACCCGAUCGCUUUGCCGUUCAUUCGGCUAGCGAUAGUUUGUUCCUUUUCCUGUUGUGUCGCUAUCUCUUUUGUUUAGUUGGUGCAACUACAUCUUAAAGUGUGUAUGUUAUGUUAUGUAAGAGUUUUUGCUGAUUUCUCCUUGUGUUUAGUUAUUAUAGAUUUUGUUUAUUUAAUUAAUUUCUCUUAUUAUUUUGUUUCCAUUAUGUUUUCUAACUGGUUGCUCUGCGAUCCCCCUCAAUUCAGGUGCUGAGCCUACGGUGGUGGACUGGUGUCCUGGUCACGGUGUCCCUUUUGUAUUGUGUUUGCAGUUGGUUUAUUUUUCAUUUGUUUUACGCGUGGUGUUCCUGGGACCCCCUUUCCUUUGGAUGCAGGUGUUCACAGUAGGUCUCAGCACUGAUUGGAUCUCAGCACCCAAUUUCCCUCCUUAGUGAGUAAUUAUUUAGUAGUCUUAAGAACAGACAUUUUGUAUAAAUAAAUAUUUUUGUAUGAUCGAACUGCCGUCUCUGCCUCAUUGCAUAACGGACCUCAGUGCCUUUCCUUCAUUUGUGCUAGUCCACUUAAAAUAAAUCUCUGGGUGAAAUUCCCAGGGUGGCGUUGUCUGGCAAUAAUUAAUGCUACCGAU